GUCUUGCGGAGUAUCCUUCCCAAGGUGCAGGAACCAGCGUGGAUGAAGGGACCGGACAGUUCCCCUGCUGUACCAUGGGCGACCUACUUGUGAUGUGGACCUGAACCUCCGCCAUGUAGCAGACACCCCCCCUCAGUCUUGCGGAGUAUCCUUCCCAAGUUGCGUGGAUGUGAAGGGACACGACUGUUCCCCUAAUGUACCAUGGGCGACCUACUUGUGAUGUGGACCUGAACCUCCGCCAUGUAGCAGACAACCCCCUCAGGUCUUGCGGAGUAUCCUUCCCAAGUUGCGUGGAUGUGAAGGGACACGACUGUUCCCCUGAUGUACCAUGGGCGACCUACUUGUGGUGUGGACCUGAACCUCCGUCAUGUAGCAGAUAACCCCCUCAGGUCUUGCAGAGUAUCCUUCCCAAGGUACAGGAACCAGCGUGGAUGUCAAGGGACAAGACAGAUCCCCUGCUGUACCAUGGGCGACCUACCACAAUACCACUGCAUCUCUGAAAUGCCAUAUUUUAAAUUUUAUCAACUAAUAAUUUAAAGAAAAACCACACAAAACUUCUCAUUUUAAAAAUUUAU